rnacentral:rRNA from 1 species
CACGUAGUUAGCCGGUGCUUCUUUACCCAUUACCGUCACUCACGCUUCGUCACAGGCGAAAGCGGUUUACAACCCGAAGGCCGUCAUCCCGCACGCGGCGUUGCUGCAUCAGGCUUCCGCCCAUUGUGCAAUAUUCCCCACUGCUGCCUUCCGUAGGAGUCUGGGCCGUAUCUCAGUCCCAAUGUGGCCGGUCACCCUCUCAGGCCGGCUACCCGUCAAAGCCUUGGUAAGCCACUACCCCACCAACAAGCUGAUAAGCCGCGAGUCCAUCCCCAACCGCCGAAACUUUCCAACCCCCACCAUGCAGCAGGAGCUCCUAUCCGGUAUUAGCCCCAGUUUCCUGAAGUUAUCCCAAAGUCAAGGGCAGGUUACUCACGUGUUACUCACCCGUUCGCCACUCGAGCACCCCACAAAAGCAGGGCCUUUCCGUUCGACUUGCAUGUGUUAAGCACGCCGCCAGCGUUCGUCCUGAGCCAGGAGUCAAACUCUA